rnacentral:rRNA from 1 species
CAGUCGCCGCGGGAAAACGUAGGGCGCAAGCGUUAUCCGGAAUUAUUGGGCGUAAAGAGCUCGUAGGCGGUUUGUCGCGUCUGCCGUGAAAGUCCGGGGCUCAACCCCGGAUCUGCGGUGGGUACGGGCAGACUAGAGUGAUGUAGGGGAGACUGGAAUUCCUGGUGUAGCGGUGAAAUGCGCAGAUAUCAGGAGGAACACCGAUGGCGAAGGCAGGUCUCUGGGCAUUAACUGACGCUGAGGAGCGAAAGCAUGGGGAGCGAACAGGAUUAGAUACCCCGGUAGUCCCUGUCUCUUAUAU